UCCUAGUUGUUAAUAAAUGGAAAGAGUCUUAACGGUUUCAGUGCUGCCCAGAUGUUUAGAGAAUAUCAAGAUGUCUGAUACGGCCUUACUGGGGGAUCAGAAUUCUUUUGGUUCAAUGGAAAAUUAGCUCAGCAGUCCAGUGAGAAAGUGUUGAAGGAUGCAAUGAAACCAUCACAAAACAGUUCUGCUUAUGUCUAUGAAAGCUGGCGUCGAACUGAAUCUAACCGCUUCUUCACACAUCUUCUUAACGAAAAGAAUGGCAUGUGGAAGAAGCUUCAUUGUUAAAACCAGGUCACCUUCUACACUCCUGGGCGUGACAAGUCAGAUAAUAGGAAAACAAAAGCUUGCUACAUGUCUCUCUAAGGUAGUUUUGUUGCUUCCUGAAUUGGUCUAAACAAGCAGAAGAAGGCUAAGGGAAACCGGAACAUUAUCUUCUGGUUGGACACAGAAGCGCUUGGAAUGCAUUGGAUCGUUUGGUGCAAGAAAAUUUUAUGUCUAAGAAACCAGAGGAGAAGAAGGUGGUCAAGUAAAGUGAUGGAAGAUCUAACUCCAUUAAUGGAGCUAUAAUAGGAGGAAGUUUUAUGCUUGGAUCAACAAGUCUCCACCCAUAAAUGUAGACAAGACAAUCAGUUUUUUUUUUUUUUUUGCAAUUAUUAUUUGAUCCCAAUAGUCCAAAAACUACCGUUGACGAAGCCUUUUUCUUUUGUAUUUCUCAUUCACUAUAAUAAAAAAUUCAAAUUUCUUCUUGAUUUUGCCUUUAUGUGAUAGAUUAA